GAGGCGACCGGUGGACAGA
rnacentral:siRNA from 1 species